rnacentral:misc_RNA from 1 species
UUGCAAUAGGGAUAGAAACGGAAACCCCGCAGAAAGGGUUGGCAUUUGGUGUGGCUCGAGGAGUUGCAGUGGAUAGCCCGACCCGAG